CAGGUAUUGAAAACUCUUAGUAGCAGCAACAAGUCAAUUCGACAAGUACAUAACUUGAUUUUGUAGAUAUCCACUAACUCAUAAAAUAAAAGACUAGUGAAUUUUGAUGAGCAAAUACCAAUCUGAACAAAAUGAAGUCAAUACGGCAGCAGAAGCACGAAACACAUCUGCACCCCCAAUCUCCCCGCUUUAAAAAAAGAGCUAGAUAUCCAGUGAUGGAAAUUGACCAAAUGAAAUGAAAAUUGAGGUAUUUUAUCAAAAGAAAGGUUAAAGUUCUGAAACUUAUUUAUCAUUCGGCGUAACUUAGUGCUACAGAAAUGCACCAGUCACUAAAAAUUCCUCUUGAAGUCUUUAAAAUACAAGCAAAAAUAAUCAAUCAUCAAUCCCACCACAUCUUAGACCAAUGUUGUCACUACGAAAUCCUAAAUCCUUUUUGAUCAACGCAGCAAGUCCAUCCAAUAAACGGUAGACAAAAACCAACAGUUAUCAAGAAUCAAACACGUACACAUUGCCUGAACAAACUGUAAGUGAAUCAGCAAACACAUG
rnacentral:misc_RNA from 1 species